CGGCUGCCGGGCGGAGACGCUCCUCACUUCCCAGACAGGCACCGAUAAUACGCUGUCAUGUGUACAGUAACAUUCAAGAUGGAACUGGAGGAGCAGGGAACAUAGAGUGAUGGGGAAGAAAAGAGGGAAUCCCGAGCAGAGAAAACUGGGAAAAGAACUAGAGGGAAUGUAAAUGGAAAGGCUAGAGCUACAGAGGCAUCUCGAUCUAUGAGAAAAAGGCCACGAGAAUCAUAGGGGCCUCACUCAGCCUUGUUAUCCCUGAGCUCCUGAAUCAGUGCCAGAAACCACCUGUGGAGUCCUAAUAAGAUAACUCCUUUUAGAAGAAAAUUCAAGAUCUGGCAACACUGUGCCCAAGCUUCUCUAAGGAAGAGAUUGUCAAAGUGUGGUGCCUGGACCAGCAGCAUUAGCAUCACCUGGGACCAGUUAGAAAUGAAGAUGCUCAGGCUCCAUCCCAGACCUGCUGGGGCUGGGGCCCAACAAUCUGUGUUUUAACAGGCUCCCUGUGUGACUGUGAUACGUGAUGCUCCAAGGUAACAGUGGUACUUGCAAAUCUUAAGUUUCUGGCUGAGCACUUUCAGUGUGGGGGAAAAUACUCUAUAGAACAUCACAGCCAGGGAAGGCAAAAUAUUCUCCAUAGCUUCAUUAAUUAUACUGGGAACAUCAAGUAGCCCCUGGGAAAAUCUCUACAGAUGCACUCCUGAGAGGGAAUAUUACAGGGAUUGGAGAUAAAAAUCCCUAAGGAAAAUUAGUGGCUAGUAACCCACAGAGAAGAGGAAAUUAAAUAUAUUUUAGAUAGGACUGCACAAAGGCUUAAUGCAACUUAAGAUAUGCAGAUUGAUGUGUAAUAUAAAUAUAUUUACUCUUAGCAAAAGCUUCCCUGAAAGCCACUGCCAUUUAUUGCAUGUUUUUAAUUGAGAUUUAGUGCAUCCCAUAAAUUGGUCACUUUUUAUAAAAGGAAUAUAGUUCAUUUGGGGAAACAUAUUUUAAAAAUAUUUUGCAAACACUUAGAAUCUGUUUUUUCUGUAUUAAUUUAUCCAUCCAACUAUCCAUUCAUAUACAGCAAAAUAAAGUAUAUGUCACACAGACAAUGUUCAUUGAACUGAAAUCUCUCCAAGUAUAAAUGAUACUAUAGAAAUAAAUGGGUAACUUGGCUUAUAAAGAGAGAAAGUAGAUUCUGUUUACAACAUACUUGGAAAGAGUAGUUUCUAAAGACAUUAGAAUAUUAAAACUGGUUGGCAUUUUAUGCAUCCCAUUAUAAGAAUUAAAGUCAAUAUUACAUAAGUGUUAGAAAUAAAUCCCUGCCAAUAAUCACUAAUGACACAGAAACCAGGACAAUCAAGACCAUCCUGGUCAAUAUGGUGAAACCCCGUCUCUACUAAAAACACAAAAAUUAGCUGGGCA
rnacentral:lncRNA from 1 species